UCUCGACUAUUGACUCCGACUGCCGUCGGUCUGCGGCUGCCCUCUCUGGCUCUCUCGUCUGCGGCUGGCCGGCUGCCUGCUUGCGUCUCUCGGCCUCUCGCUCUCGCUCUCGCAUCUUGUGGCUUGUGAGGUCGGAAAGAGUACUUUUCAGUAAUUCUUGGAAGUGACGAAGUUAAAUCAGGGAAGCCCUCUCCAGACUUGUAAGCGCUUCAUAUAUGAUUCCUUGUACAUCUUAAUGGUUGUGCCUCUACAUAAUUCUCAAAAGAGUAUGUGCUUGUAGUUUCUGCCUUCUUCCUUCCUAACUUGUUUUCACGCCAUUAUUUGCCUAAAUUACUUUUGGUAAUUGAGAUUGUAACUAAAAUGGGUGACAAUGAUCAAACCACUUGAAUAUCAGAUUUCUGGAAGCUGCAAAUAGAAUGGGUGUGGAUGCAUCUUGCUAUCUUGUGGUAGAGGAUAGGUUCAUUAUGCAUUUCAUGCCUAGGUACGGGAAAAGAGGUAGAGGAAAGUAAUUUGCUGCAGAAACUAUCAGAAGCUUGCAUAGUUGAUUUCUCUUAGAUUGACUCUUCAACUGCACAAGUUUUAUUUUGAAAUUCACUCAAGUCCGUAAGUCUUGAUCUUUGUGGCCAUCAAUUUCUAGCAGUCCGGUGAUUUCCAGCCUCCAUUUCAGGGCAUCAGAAACCCAGGACCGGCCCUAGACACACGUUGUUAAUCCAUGAAGAAGUUCUCAUCCCUAAUUUACAAAUCGAGAUGCCAUUGUUUCUCAUCAUCAUCACCCUCAUCGUCUCGUGGAGCUGCAAUCUCCAGUGAAGUCCUAAACAUCGUCAAUUCAUUGGAGCCUAUGGAAACUGCGCUCGAACAAGUUGUCCCAUUUCUCUCACCUGGCAUCAUCACCUCGGUGCUACAAGAACAACAAAACCCAAGUCUUUGUUUCCGGUUUUACGUGUGGGCUGCGAAACGAAAGCAAUUUCGCAGCUGGGAAUCUCAUAAUUUGUUGAUUGACAUGCUCGUUUCAAGUACUUUGGAUAUGUUUGAUGCUUAUUGGAAGGUUCUUGAAGAGAUUAAGAGCUGUGGGAUUCGGAUACCUUCUGAUGCUUUCACGGUUUUGAUUGAUGGGUACUGGAAGAUGAAUAAUGCUGAAAAAGCAGUAGAGUCAUUUGGUAAAAUGAAAGAUUUUGAUUGUGAGCCCAAUUUAUUUACUUACAAUUUGAUUCUUCAUAUAUUGAUAAAUAGAGGUAUGGUUUUGUUAGCUUUGGCUGUGUAUAAUAUGAUGUUGAAGUUGAAUUCUCAUCUGAAUUGUUCAACUUAUAGUAUUCUGAUCAAUGGGUUAUGUAAAAGUGAGAAGACCUCUGAUGCACUUGAACUGUUUGAUGAAAUGAUGCAGAAAGGUAUUAUGCCUAGUAAGGUCACUUAUACUAUCGUGCUUUCGGGGUUAUGUCAAGCAAAGAGGAUGGAUGAUGCUUAUAGAUUGUUUAAUAACAUGAGAAGUAGUCAUUGUAAGCCUGAUUUUAUUACAUACAAUACUUUGGUUAAUGGGGUUUGUAAGUUGGGUAGGAUGGAGGAAGCUUUUGUUCUUUUAAAAGCUUUUAACAAGGAUGGUUACGAUCUUGAUUUAAAUGGUUAUAGUUGUUUGAUUGAUGGGUUGUUUAGGGCUAGGAUGUUCAAAGAAGCCCAUGAUAUGUUUCAGAAAAUGAUGGAGGCAGGCAUCACACCUGAUGUCAUCUUGUACACAAUCAUGAUUCGAGGGUUAUGUGAUGCUGGCAGAGUGCAGGAUGCAUUUGAGUUUUUGAGGAAUAUGAGCAGUAGAGGAUUGGUACCAGAUACUCGAGCGUAUAAUACCCUUAUCAAAGGGUUCUGUGAUAAGGGCCUCUUGGACGAAGCUCGCUCCCUCAAACUGGAAAUUUCAGAGGUUAAUCAAUUUGCAGACUCUUGUACUUAUACUAUUCUUAUAUCUGGCAUGUGCAAACAUGGUCUGGUGGGGGAGGCACAAAACAUAUUUGAUGAGAUGGAGAAGCUUGGAUGUAUUCCCUCAGUUGUUACCUUCAAUGCUCUUAUGGAUGGGCUUUGUAAGUCUGGGGAGCUUCAGAAAGCUCAUUAUUUGUUCUACAGGAUGGAGAUUGGAAGAAAUCCUUCAUUAUUUCUUCGACUUACUCAAGGUUCAGAUAGGGUUGUUGACAGUGGAAGCCUUCAGACAUUAGUGACAAAGUUGUGCGAGUCAGGGUUAACACUUAAAGCAUACAAGCUUCUCACACAACUUGCUGAUACGACAAUCCUACCAAAUAUCACGACUUACAAUAUCUUGAUUAAUGGCCUCUGCAAAUCAGGGAAAAUCAAUGGUGCUUUAAAGCUCUUAAAGGAACUUCAACUAAAGGGAAAAUCCCCUGAUUCAGUUACAUAUGGAACACUCAUUGAUGGUCUCCAAAGCAUUGGCCGAGAGAAUGAUGCUUUCAUGCUGUUAGAAGAAAUGGUGAAGAAUGGGUGCACACCUACUGCAGCAAUUUAUAGGUCCCUCAUGAAAUGGUCUUGCCGAAGAAAGAAAACCUUUGCAGCUUUCAGUCUCUGGUUGAAGUUCUUAAGUAGCACGCUCAAACGAGAAGAAAAGACGAUGAAAUUGGUUGAAGAGCAACUGCAGAAAGGAGAAGUGGAGAGGCCUGUUCGGUUAUUACUUGAUAUGGAUAUUAAGUUGGGAGAUUUUGAUUCAGCACCUUAUACAAUAUGGCUUAUCGGAUUGUGUCAGGCGCACAACACAGUGGAAGCUUUAAAGUUGUUUGAUAUUCUCAAAGAAUACAAUAUAAAUGUCACCCCCCCAAGUUGUGUGAUAUUGAUCGCCACUCUUUGUAAACAAAAAAAAUUGAACUUGGCUAUUGAAGUUUUUCUAUAUUCUCUGAAGAAAGGUUUCAUCUUGAAACCACGAAUUUGCAACAAUUUGCUCAAGUCCCUUGUUCAUUCCCAAUACGAAAAAGAGCAUGCUUUUGAGCUUAUAAAGAAGAUGGAGUCUUGUGGAUAUGAUUUAGAUGCCUGUCUUAAUGAUCAUACAAGAUUCCUCUUAAGCAGUUGUUGGAGAACACAGGAUACAGGAAUUAUUUCAACUAGAUGAUCAUGCUACUAAUGUCUUAUAGAUGACUCUCUUCAGUUUUGGUUAUUCCUACACCUCUUUCCACAGCUGUCACAAUUGCAGAAAUUCUCAAGAAUGGAUUUUAUCGUUUAAAAGAAUCAACGUGUUACUUGGGAAAAGCAAUACAUUUGCGGAGGAGGAAAGGGAGCUUGCAAAUGGUGCAGAGCAAGGGUUGAUUCAAGUUCUUGUUCUCUUGGACAUGGAAGACAUUAUCUUGGAGUUGGUUGGGACAAUAAUACAAUCUUCAGUCUGAUUAGUUUCUUGGACAUACUAGCGAGAUCGACCCUCGAUGAAUACUACGGACCGGAAGCAUCUGAAAGCAUCGAGGCACAACCCUCAACUUGUUUAUGGCUUUAUACUUCAAGAUCAGUCAACCUUCCGCCUACCCUGAUUCACCACUUGUUCAUCACAUGACACUAAAAUAAAACGAAUUGUUUGAACCAUUUGGUUUCAGCAAAUGAAAGAUUUAACAUUGGUUCAAUUUUUAGAUUAAUCCUGCUCUUCUGUUUUAAGGAAGGGGUUCUACAGCUGCUGUUGGGGUUGGGUGGCAACUGUGAUUUGCAAAAGAUGCUGUCAAUUGGUUUGGUUUGGAUGUAUGGUUUUAAUGCUAAUCUUUCGAAGUUAAUUUGUAAAAAUUUGGAGGUCACAAACCUGUGACUUUAGACCAAUAAUGGCUCCUAUACUAUGGGCUUUUAUAAUGCUUCAGAUCAGGUGUAGAGUUUCUGUCAACACGUCCUUGUUUUUCUCUCUCUCAAUGCAAUGGUCACUACAGGUUUCAUGAUGUCUGGAUUAAUCUUUUGUCUAUGGCCUCCUUCUGGACGAAGUAGAUUUGUUGGUUGUAGUUAUAAGACUUACCAUUAGCUGCUUGGUCCUGAUUGAGUCAUGUGAGUCUAUGCUCUUAAGAACCGAUUAUAUGGAGCUUCACUAUUUGUAUCUGUGGGAUAUGUUGGAGCUACUGGUUUAUCAUAUACAUUUGGAAGGCUGGUAUCUUUUUGGUGUGAGGAGUUCAAAGGCAGAUUUAUGGAGUUUUUCGAAGAGUUAUUAAUCAUGCCUUGGGUUUUCUUAAAGAGUUAUUUUUAUUGUUCUUAAAUGGGUUUUCUAGAGAUGGGCAUUUGGGUUGUUAAUUAUCUUAGUGGUUAUAAAGUUUGGCCUAUGUUAAUAGUUAUUUAGAAACAUUUUUUAGGAUGGCAUUUUG